AUGCACGCUGGCGGCGUGCCUAAUACCUGCAAGUCGAGCGAACGGACGAGAAGCUUGCUUCUCUGAUGUUAGCGGCGGACGGGUGAGUAACACGUGGAUAACCUACCUAUAAGACUGGGAUAACUUCGGGAAACCGGAGCUAAUACCGGAUAAUAUUUUGAACCGCAUGGUUCAAAAGUGAAAGACGGUCUUGCUGUCACUUAUAGAUGGAUCCGCGCUGCAUUAGCUAGUUGGUAAGGUAACGGCUUACCAAGGCAACGAUGCAUAGCCGACCUGAGAGGGUGAACGGCCACACUGGAACUGAGACACGGUCCAGACUCCUACGGGAGGCAGCAGUAGGGAAUCUUCCGCAAUGGGCGAAAGCCUGACGGAGCAACGCCGCGUGAGUGAUGAAGGUCUUCGGAUCGUAAAACUCUGUUAUUAGGGAAGAACAUAUGUGUAAGUAACUGUGCACAUCUUGACGGUACCUAAUCAGAAAGCCACGGCUAACUACGUG
rnacentral:rRNA from 1 species